rnacentral:tRNA from 1 species
GCCGAAGUGGUGAAACUGACACUCACGUUUCAGAGGCGUGUCGCUCAAGUUGUUCGGGUUCAAGUCCCGCCUUCGGCA